rnacentral:rRNA from 1 species
GCUUUGGCAGGNCGCAUGGGCUUCGGCCUGGNCACCGGCCCUGGAGCUGGUGUGCGCCUGCCAGAGGACCCCCAAACUCUGGUUAUCUGUGUCGUCUGAGUACUAUACAAUCGUUAAAACUUUCAACAACGGAUCUCUUGGUUCUGGCAUCGAUGAAGAACGCAGCGAACUGCGAUAAGUAAUGCGAAUUGCAGAAUUCUACGAGUCAUCGAAUCUUUGAACGCACAUUGCACCCGCCAGUAUUCUGGCGGGUAUGCCUGUUCGAGCGUCAUUUCAACCCCUCAAGCCCUGGCUGCUUGGUGUUGGGGCGUAAUCUGCAGCGCUUUCACAGCUGCUGCAGGCCCCUAAUUUCAGUGGCGGACCCGCCGAGGCCCCGAGCGCAGUAGUGUAUCUCCUCGCUCCAGGGCGCCGCGGCGGGCUCUCCUGCCGUAAAAACCCCACUGUAUUUUAAGGUUGACCUCGGAUCAGGUAGGACUACCCGCUGA